rnacentral:rRNA from 1 species
GGAGGGGGCAAGCGUUGUUCGGAAUUACUGGGCGUAAAGGGCGCGUAGGCGGGAAGAUCAAGUCAGGGGUGAAAGGCCUGGGCUCAACCCGGGAACUGCCUUUGAAACUGGUUUUCUAGAGUACGGGAGAGGAUGGCGGAAUUCCCAGUGUAGAGGUGAAAUUCGUAGAUAUUGGGAAGAACACCGGUGGCGAAGGCGGCCAUCUGGCCCGGUACUGACGCUAAGGCGCGAAAGCGUGGUGAGCAAACAGGAUUAGAUACCCUGGUAGUCCACGCCGUAAACGAUGUGUGCUAGCCGUUGGGGCUUCAGGUCUCGGUGGCGCAGCUAACGCGUUAAGCACACCGCCUGGGGAGUACGGCCGCAAGGUUA